UACGUAGGGGGCAAGCGUUGUCCGGAUUUAUUGGGCGUAAAGAGCGUGUAGGCGGUUUGGUAGGUCCGUUGUGAAAACUCGAGGCUCAACCUCGAGACGCCGAUGGAAACCAUCAGACUAGAGUCCGGAAGAGGAGAGUGGAAUUCCGGGUGUAGCGGUGGAAUGCGUAGAGAUCCGGAAGAACACCGGUGGCGAAGGCGGUCUGCUGGGGUCGAACUGACGCUGAUGCGCGACAGCGUGGGGAGCAAACAGG
rnacentral:rRNA from 1 species